rnacentral:lncRNA from 1 species
CCGAAAUUGAAAUUGAGCUUCUUAAAAAAAAAAAUUGAGCUUCUCAAAUGGUUCAUACAAUUUUACACAUCUAAUUAAUAACACAUCAAAACUCUAAAAAUAGAUUAACACUGAACUUGUAUCAUCUAAGAAACAUGAAUGUUGAGCAACUAUGAAUGUGUAAGGAAAUUUCUAUAAUGUACAUGCACUUGAGCUCAAGUUUUAAAUGUUCGCUUCUCAAUCCCUUGUGUGAAUCCAAACUUCCUCUGUAUCAACAACUAUGAAUGUGUAAGGAAAUUUCUAAAAUGUGUGUGCACUUAAGCUCAAGUUUUAAAUGUUCGCUUCUCAAUCCCUUGUGUGAAUCCAAACUUCCUCUGUAUCAACAAUAAAAAACAUGAUGGCAUCUAAUUAAUGAAAUCGAAGUCCGCUCUCAUAAUGUUUGCUUAGGAUCUGAAAUAAGCUUCAAGAACUCGUGACAUGCUCAGUUUGGUUAAAAAUUCACAGAGCGAAGUCCAAGAGAGACAUGUCCUGCAAUUGUGCAACAGAAAACAAUGUUAAGUUCUUAUGAUUGCGAAAAAUUAGACUCCAAGUUGCCAUCUUAUUGGAAAGAGGAAAUGAAGACCUCUAUUUAUUUCAGAGAAAAAUUACUGUAGUUCAGAGUUACACACCAAAUUGAUCGUCUGCAAAUUUGAACCAAGAUGAGGUUGGCCCAAAAUGUUGAUGCAUCCUAAAACAAUCAGGAGUUUCAGUAUUUCAAUGCAUGUUACGGUGUACAUUGUCAUUAAGAUCACAAUAUGUAAGACAACAACAAUUGACUCAAUUGAGCUGGGAACUUGAGGAAGGAAAUUCAUAGGUUAAAGCUUUGUUUCCCCAGGAAAACAAAUGAUCGUAUUGUUAGAGUUGAUGAACCUUUACCAUGUCAUUAAUGUUUUUUGUAUCAUAUUGCCAAUUUUAUCAAUUCAAAACCAGAAACAAAAAUUCAAUUUUUUAAGUAUAAUCUAAAAACUCCUCGCCACCAAAAUAACUUAACUCACAUUCUAUGUACUUUUCUUUACUAUAUUUGGAAAUUUGUUAUGAACAUCCUUCUGAACUAAUGCUCUUAGGCAUAUCUAUCAUCAUACAAUACAUUGGUAUCACUCCCAAGUAAAAGUAUAGUCCUUAUCCUCCGGCAGGAUUUGUUAUCCAUCCUCUUUCAUUCCUUGGGUUUCAAAAGAAAGUCCUGCCAUUUAAGGUGAAAUAUAUUUGCACCAUUUUAUCCAACCAAUGCUCAAAUUACACUACUGAUACAGUAUAUAUCAUAAGGUAGAUAGAAACUGAGGAAAAAAAAAAACUGGAAUUCAAUGCUUUGCAUAAUAAAAAACCCAGCCAGUUAUUGAAAAAAGAAGAAGAAAAGAUUAAUAAAUAAAUAACACUGAAUUAUCUUCCUCUAUAACUAUUAGACCAAUAAUUGGACUGGUAAACAAAAAACAUCAGCAUAGUUUGAUUCAACAGAAAAAUAAACAAAACCAUAAUAAAAACUCACAGAUACCAUUUGUAAAAGGGCAGGACUUGAUAGGACCUCGUAGUCUGUUUCCAUUUGUAUCUUGGCACCUCCUCUCGAUUACAACUCUUUCUAAUUUCUAGAACAUCUAGAACCAUCCUGUAAUAACAAAAAAAAGAGUCAUGAUUUACAGCUACAAACCCCAAACCAAAUCAGGCAUACCCACUGAAAGCUUAUCCCACUUACUAAACUGAAAACUAAACCAUUGCAUACCAGUUGAAGGAUGGUCCCAGUUGUUAAUCUGGAGUGUGCUUUUGCAGAGGUUGCCGAAAAACAAUCCAAUGUUGCUCAAGAAUGCGUUUAGAAAGCUCUUCCUUUCAAAUGUGAAGAAUCCAACAGUAGGAGACCUUGCAAAAGAGUCACCAUAACAGUCAUUAAUUUCACAAAAUUCAUUCAUACUUGGUGAAAAUCAAGACUCAGUAUAGGUUUAAAAGUAUAAUAAAGGUCAAUCUCUUUUGAUUACGGGGAUAUACCAACGAAACAAGUUACAACCAAACAAUAGCUCAGAUUUAUCAAACAUGCAAACAAAGCAACCAUAAUUCAUGUUUAUUAUUCUCAAAACAUCAAACAGUCCACACAAACAAGAACACAGAAAAGAAAAGUUUGGUUUACCAGCUAAGGAAACACAAUCAACUCUCCGAUAAGCCUCAACUAUCAACCUUACAUCAACUAUCAGAAACCCAAACCCACAGUCGAUCAACAAUUCCACACAAAAUGCUCAUCCAAUAAUCACAAUCAAAGCUAGAUCAUCAACCAAAACCAUAAAAAACCUAGUCUAGUGCACUUCAAAAAUCCAAAGCUAGGAAGUCGCGCCGAUGAUGCCAGAAACGAUGAUUAAUACUACGAUCUGAUGAGUGCGUGGGUUGAAUCGAAACGACUAGGCUUAGAGUUCUGAGGCUACGGUUUUUGAAAUUGGGGGAAAUUGAUAAAUUGAAUUGAAAUCUGGAGAGAAUUAAAGCAGAAGCAAAGACUAAGCUAGAUUCACAGAAGCCACAUACUUGAACCCAGAUGUGUUGAUCCAAACUUGAAUCAACGCCUAAAGAAAUAAGAGUGGUAAGAGUAAUACCUGAAAUCCCGGAGAUUCGCCGAUCCAAACUUGUAUUCAACUUACGGAGUUGUGUUGCUGGGUUUCAACCCUCAACCUAAUACAGACUCUUUUCUCUCGCCUCACCUCUCAUUUGAUCUCAUAUUGUGCCUCUAAACCCUCACACUCUCAUCUCCUUAUUUCCCCUCGUUUCUGCGUCCUUUUACCACGGAAUUGACUACCCUGACCCUCAGUCACUUUUUCGAUUUUUUAUCUGGCUUGACGGUCGGCUUGGACGGUGACGGUCGGCUCGAUUACUCCCGGUGUAUUC